UUUACCAACCAGAUGUGCAAAUAAUGCUCUCAUUUUUAUUUUGCAUUUCUUCUCAUUACAGGAAAGGGUGAGCAAUUUUUUAUGGCAUAUUCAUGUAGAGACUUUCAAUUAACCUGUUUUCAGCACCAUAUGUCAUGCCCAUCCUCUGCUGUAUUUGGUGUCUCGGAUCCUGGAGCCCUUCCAUAGUUUUACUGUGUGGUGUAGCUGAUGUGAAGCCUUCAAAUGCAGCAGCCCUUUUGCUACCAGGAAGGGAGUCAAAUUUAUGAUAAAGCUCACACUUUGGAAGACUGGAAGGAAAUUAGGUCCUUGGUGAUAUUGUUGAUUCAUGCAAUCGAACCAAUUGCAAAGCCCACUCAUCCCCUGGAAUUUGCAGUUGUAUGAACCAAUAAAUCGUCUUUAUUGUUUAA